rnacentral:lncRNA from 1 species
AUGAAACAUUACAGCAUGCAUCGGUGCCUUGUGUGCUAGUCAUUCGUAGCUGUGUGAAUAUGUGACUGUCUGGAGCUGAACAGUCACUGUUCAAUGACUUCCAAAUUUCUCCUGGCACUUGCUUUGCUCCAAAGCUUAACUAGAACGUGUGUCUCCUCUUUAUUUCACUUUAUCGUGGCAAUUCCCUUCCCAGGGAAGGCUUGAGCUCUGGCUUGAUUUUAGUGUGCUGAACUGCAUUUGAAGCAGCGGGUGAAUGAAGUCCCCAGGCUUGCUUCAAGCGCUCUUUAUCACUAGAUUGCAUUUCCAUGAAUUUGUUCUCAUGUAGCAUAACCGGAUAGAGUGUCAAAGAAAUACCUCGGAAUUGUUUCCAGUGCCCCAGAAAGCAUUUUCUCACAGUAAAUUUCUCUACUUUGUUUACUUUUAUAUUUUGCACUGCUGUCUAAUUGCACUGAAUUCGUGGUCUUGAAGGCUUCUUUUCAGAUUUUUAAUGCUAAUCUCUUGGUUUGCUCUUCUUUAUGUCACAUAUUUUUUCUGUAUCAAAUUCUUCCUCUGUCUCCACAUUAAUCCUGAGUCUCAUUAGUUGACUUUCUGCCUCUCGUUUCAUUUUUUUACAUCCGGUUGUAUAUCUAACCUCCCCGCCAUAUUUCAUGCAAUAUGAACACAUGCCAGCUGUUAGGCAGACAGAUUUGGAAACCAUGCUCCUCCAGUCGUGGGAAAAACACAGUAUAAGGGAUAGCAGCAUACGUGUGUUUUCCUUCACUGCCAUGACAAAGAACCUUCUCCAGGAAACGAAUGUUUUGGAAAGGCUGCAGCUCUGACAGCUCCUCUGGCUUUUUUGGGAGGUGGGGUCCUUUCUACUUAAAAGUUUAUGUUUCUCUGCUGAGAAGAGACAGUGCAAAGAACUGAAGAGCACGUGUCAGAGCAAGAACAGACGUCUGGCAGGAGAAGGGCUGAACUUCACACGCUCGAUACCUCCCAGGAAUCAGCUGGCAGCCCACUGAAGUCUAUGGGAAUUUUUGACUGGCUUCAAUGUGUGUUGGGUCAGACCCAAAGCGACUCUAUUCAGCAAAAUACUUAGGUGGAUUUUACUUCAGGCACGAGCUUCAUG